rnacentral:lncRNA from 1 species
CUCAUCAAUGAAUCACAACGCUGCACGGAACAAGUAACUUUCCUUAAAGGACCCCCUCUAAAAUCUUUUCAGGUUUCAGAAAUAUAUUGCCAGUAGGGAAUUAAAAAGGCAAAAAGUGUUGCUUAGCCUAUCUGUAGAGAGAACGACAUGAAAUAACAGGAAUAUGCAAAACUAAACCAGCCCAACACUGACAGCUGGACUAAUCAUCAUAAAGAAACUCAGUGACCAUACUUUGAUGACAAGCCAGAUGGCAGCUGUUCCCCAAGCCCAGUGCCAAGAAAGAUGAUUGGAGCUGCAAUUU